UUGAUUAGUCCUUAAUUCAUUUGUUUCUGCUCAAUUUUUUCGGAUCUAAAUUUUCUGCCUGGGACUAAUAGCUGUUUUAUGUAUAUCCAGUUAAAUGACUGAAGGGCGGUAACAUAUGUAGACCUUUGGUUUCAACUUAAAUAGAUAAGUCCUUGAUUCAUUUGUUUCUGCCCAAUUUUUUCGAAUCAAAAUCUUUUUGGACGUUGUAUUACCACAGAAAACGUAGUAUGAUUGCUAUGGCAAGCAAAUCUUGUAAAAUUAUUUCUGUAUCAAGAAAUUCUGUGCCACGCCAGUUAUCAUUAAUCAUAGUUUCAGUCUCGAAGAAUUCAGCACAAAUUAAUAGUUUAUUUUUUUUUCUUUGAUUCAUAAAAUUUUAUACACAUCAGUCCCUGGUGAGUUAAAUCUAUUUUUUUAUUAUUCUUGUUUAUUCUGCCUUGUCAUAAAUACAUAAAAUAAUUGGAUAUAAAAUCACAAAACGUUUUUGGACAGAAUUGGCAAGCAGUGCUGGCAAGGUUUUUAAGUCAGUUACAUACAAAUUGGAGUCAUUUUAUAAACGUAACGAGAUCUAUCAUGCUUAGAAAUUCCAAGCACCUUUCUUAAAAUAGCGAAUUUUAGCUCUUUCUAGGUUUUCUAAGUCAGUAUUUGUUAGAUGUGGCCAGAUGAUUUCAAUUCCAUGCGAGGCUGUUGGUGAGAUAUAGGUCAAAGAGUUUAAACGCAGUGUCAAUAUAGCAAGCCUAUUCAAAUUUUUAAUACAUAUAUAUAAGUUGUCAUUUAAGCUGCUCGCGCGCACUCUUUACUCUUCAUGAAUUGCAAAGAACGUACCCGAGGUUUGGAACACAGCACCCAAAUAUGAGAAUUCAGACACAAAUUCAAAUUUAUGCUUCUAACUCAAUUUUUCUCUUUGUAUAUCUGUCACGCCCUAAAAUUUCUAAAUUUCGUCACUUUUCUAUAUUUAUAUAUUCCUUUAAGGCAACAAUCGCAAUAUUAAAAUCACUCAAGAACUCACUAGUUGGGACAAUGUCAUCCGUAAAGGGGACAGCUUUGCAACAAAUUAUUUAGACAAAGAAACCACUAAUAAGCUGAAAGGAUUAAUAUUCAAUUUUUUCUGUAUUUUGAUAUUUGUAUUAGUCCAUUAUUUUAUAAUUAAAUUUUCAAGAGCUCAAUUGAAGUUUGAAUCAAAACGAUAAUUCUAAUUGUGAAAAUAGUUUCAGAUUCUAUUCUAGUUAAUUAAAACUUCUCAUUCUAUAAGCUCUCUUGACUGCUAAAUAUAUCUCUUUUUGUUGUAGUUUGUUAUGGGAAAGCAAAAAUUGUCUCUGCUUCUUGGUCAGUAGAUUUUAAAAAGAUAAAAAUUAAUCCAAGCAGUUGCAUUUUAUCUUUAAUAACUUCUAUUAUGAUUAUUUUUAAAACAAAAACUGCAGCAGUUUGCUAUUAGCUUCCUGCUUUACAAAAUCUCGGCAAUAAAGACCGCAAAGCGACCUCAAAAAGGCGACGCCAAAAACAUUUCUCUCAUUUAUACUUGUAAUGUAUCCAUGUGAGCUCAGCAUGAUGCGAAGUCAUCCUAACGUUGCAAUCGUGCUCCUUAUUGCGUUGUUGCUGCUGGCUCCUGUUAUUGACAGCAAGCCCAAGGCACUUCAAGAGAGAGGUCAAAUUGAUCAGCCACCCUCCGUUAUCAAGAGUGCAAUCACCGUCAACACCACAGAUGCCCGAUUCCCCGGCGCUCCUUGGAGUAUAUCAGGCAGCAAGGCAAGAUUUAUGUGUCCAACUACGCACACCUGGGAUUCUAGAGCUAAAAUUUGUCGACUAAUUCAUCAGUAAAAUAAUUUGUUAAUUCUUAAGUUAUGCUCAUUCUGAUUAAUGUCUGUUUUUGACAGGUAUACAUAAUAAUGAGUUUUGUUUGAGCCCUAUUUGUUGAUAUUUUUAGCUCAUGAAUAAAGAUAAAAAAAUCAAUAUUAAGUUUUCUAUUAUAUUAUACAAUUUGAACGCCUCUCCAUAACAAUUUUUAGUUUAAAUGACAAGUCGAAUGUAUCAAGAAAUUGAAAUGAGAUAAUAUCAUAUUUUUUCUCAUUCGUAAAUAUAUAACAACCGUCGUCAAAUAAUGAAAAAAGAGUGACGUCAGAGCCAAGGUUGAUAGCCCGGCAAGUGUCGUGCAGUCAGUCGUUGUGGCUAACAAGGCGUGUUGAGAGGAAGCAGCGCAGAUGUAUGUGAUUGUGCUCAUAAGUCUCCUAAUUGGCUCCCUCUGUGUCGCUGAAAAUGCGACGGAAUCGCAGACAGACCCUUUUAACGUAAUCAACGCCCCCGAUAGAGAUGAAAGAUGUCCAGGUGUUUCGAGGAGGUGCCCAGAAAACAACAUUUUUGAAUUCAGAACUUGCAAAUGCAGACAAAUUGUUGGGAAAUGAGUGAACGAUUGCGGCGCAGCAGACCUAUAUAUGGCUCACUCUGCAUGGAGGAUAGAAAGAGUGUUGCACGCGCAUCGACACAAAACUCGUCAGGUCUAAGUCGAAAAGAUUAUCUUAAUUAAUAUACGCGACAUAAAUUUUUGCUGUAAAAUCGCUGCAUAACGAUUAAAGUUGACCUGAUAUCUAAUUUAGAAAUAUUUCGUAUUAUAUACUAUGUCGUUUCAUGCUGCAUCAAUCGUUCUCUGAAAUAAAUGUGUCCAAAAAUCAAUAAAAUUGCUUACACGUGAA